CCUACGGGUGGCUGCAGUGGGGAAUAUUGGACAAUGGGCGAAAGCCUGAUCCAGCCAUGCCGCGUGUGUGAAGAAGGCCUUCGGGUUGUAAAGCACUUUCAGUGGGGAAGAAAGCCUUGGGGCUAAUACCCUCGAGGAAGGACAUCACCCACAGAAGAAGCACCGGCUAACUCCGUGCCAGCAGCCGCGGUAAUACGGAGGGUGCGAGCGUUAAUCGGAAUUACUGGGCGUAAAGCGCGCGUAGGCGGUCUGAUAAGCCGGUUGUGAAAGCCCCGGGCUCAACCUGGGAACGGCAUCCGGAACUGUCAGGCUAGAGUGCAGGAGAGGAAGGUAGAAUUCCCGGUGUAGCGGUGAAAUGCGUAGAGAUCGGGAGGAAUAACAGUGGCGAAGGCGGCCUUCUGGACUGACACUGACGCUGAGGUGCGAAAGCGUGGGUAGCAAACAGGAUUAGAUACCCUAGUAGU
rnacentral:rRNA from 1 species